UUUUUUUUUUUUUUUGCCAGAUCUUCCAGAAACGUUUUAAUAAAAAUUGGCCAUUUCCAAGAAAUACCCACUGCAUGCCCACCAGGGAAAGGGAACCAUAACAAAACAGAAAAUUUACCAUAUGGCUAUGAUUAAAAGAAAAAAAAAAAAAAAACCUAGCACUCACUCAAGCACACCAUCAAAGUCCAACAUUAAUGUCACAUUCUUUCUUACGGGCUAUGAUUAGGAUUCUGAAUAGACACUGAAAUAAUACAAAUGCUGAACUAUUCAGGUCAAAGGACUCUACAGAAGCAUCUGUACUCAAAGGCAUUCCAGUUUGAAACUCAAUUUCAGAAUAAGGCAUAACAAAUGAACACAAGACAUACAGAGUAAAAAAUGGGGUCAUAAUUCCCAACAUUCUCUGAACCCGAUGGAACAAAUCUAGGGGUCUUUUUUUUUUUUUUUUUCAUUAAACAAUUGCCAAGACUGGAAUCAAAGAUAAAUAGAAGGCACAACAGUUUUGCUCUGGUUUUGCGUUACUUAGAUUUGGAAAUUUUUUUUGUUCUUUUUUCUUUUUUUACAAAUACAAAUUAAACAUGAAAAAAACUCUACUUCAAAAAAGAAAAAACAGUUCAAGAAAAGCUUAUCAGUUGCAUUCUAGACAUUUAAACCUAUCUCACAACUUAAAUUCCAAUGUCAAAAACAGUAGAUUUUAGAACUGUUUUGUGAUCAUGUUUUAAAAGAAAACUCGAACACCUUUUAUUCAGUUUUUAACCACAUCAACGAGAAUCAAAAUUGUCAAUUUUUCCAAUGGCAAUUUCUCCACACCAGAAGAUAGUCAUGACUCUCAAAGAGGAAAACAAUUUGGGUUUCUCCGGUCUUCAAAAUGUUUAUCAAAUCCUGUAGUUCUCACAGGCUUUUGAAAUACAUAGAAAGUAAGUAAGAAAUAGUCCAAUGAAUGAAACAUACCAAAUGUCAGUAAGAAGCAAGACACAUUCCUUUGGGGAAACUGUUAAAAAAAAAAAAAAAAUCCAGUCUGUAUAUGCAAAUAAAGCAAAGAAAUUCAGUCUUAUUUUUCUUCUUUAAAGAUCCAUUUUUCCUAAAAUAUUCCACAAAAUUGGAAGUGAAGGACUAAAAUGUGGGGGGCAGGGGAGAGAAGGAGCACACACCAUUAACACAAAAAGUAAAACUGUACAAACUUAAGCAGUUUAUGAUAGACUAGGAUCAUAUUCCAAGAUACCAAGGUUGGCUGAAGAAAUUCAUCAUUCUGUGGGAGCUAGUUUGUACUGCUGCCUGAAGACUGGUGAAGAGCAAUUCACUGCCUUGGAGCAAUGCUCCUGCCCACUCCAAAUCCUGGUUUCUGCACCAUGCCUCCACAAGUCUUCUUUUCUUCCACAUUCAGAUGGACCUCUCCUCUGAACAUGAUGGGCCUGUUGCUAAGCACCUUCUGAACAGGCUCAGAAUCAUCAAACACAACAAACCCAAAAUUGGAUAAUUUCCCACCACUGUUAAUGCGCAGUUCUACCACAUUCCCAUAAUUUUGAAAAAAGUCUUUAAGCUCUGAUUUAUCCACCUCAUGAGGCAGGUUGCCAAUGGAGAGCUGGUGACUGUCAGGGUGUCUCACAAUUCUUUGGGGUUCCAUAUCACCUUGCUCACCAGCCUCACGGAC
ensembl:lncRNA